GUAAACAUGGGAAAGAUUGAAACUUUUGAGAGAUGAGAAAACAGAGAACAAUAGAACCUCUCAUAAACCCCAAACAAUGAAGAAAGAUCAAAGCUUUAGCUUACUGUAACGUUCUGUCUCUCGACAAACUUGUCUUUGAUAAGGAUCAUAAAUGUGUCGCAGAGCUCAAGGAGAACCUGCUCACAGUAUGCCAAGAGAAAGGGCAUAAAAGAUGAUCUGAGAGUUCUUUUGGGAGAGCAAGCACACAAUGUGGUUCUCUUGGUCUCUCAACAAGUUGUUAAUCUUCCACGCCAGCUUUUUCCACCUUUUUAUGAUGCUGUGUUUGAUGAAGUCUCAGGGCUAUAGAAGAUGAGGUUAGAUGAAAUAUGGGAUGGCCAACGGAGGAGCUCCAGAAUUCAUUCCUCUUUAAGUCAUAUCUACUAGUUAGCAAAAUUUACAAGGCAUGCUUGCCCCAGAUUCUUCCUCCUGCUCUCUCUCUUUGCAACUCCAUUACCUUUUACUUAAAUCAACACUCGUCUCUCAUGACCAGCACAAGAAUGCAGAGAAGAAAAACAGGUUAAGUAAUGAUAGUGAGGAAGCAAUUAUAUACGUUAAGCCUGAAGAUGAAAUUUUUCACAAGCUCUGUUCAUGGUCCUUCAACUUUCCUUUUCAUGCCGAGCAGGUUACAGCUCAUGAGGUAAGUAGUAAUUUUGCUAUUAUCUCGAAAGGGGUUAAUUAUGUUGGUGAUUGUAUUUCAGAGUCAACUUCAAACUGAAUGCUAGUGAUUUUGAACUUAAAGAUGGAACCAGUGGAACUCCUGUUUGUAAAAUUUAUGUUUUAAACUUUUUGCCUUCAUUUCCUUGCAUAGUUGUUUACAGCAUUCUUUUGCUCAAGUUCCCUGGAUGGAAAAACCUCUAAAUGCCACUAUGUCACCGUAGACAAACCUCCAUUUGUUUUGUUGUGAUGUGUAGGUGACCCAGUCUUUUGGCAGUGCAUUAUUGCUUCCCCUGGACAUUUACUUGUGAUGGCUUUAAAAAUAGAAAUGUUUGCUAAUUUUUGGUUUCGAUAAUUUACAGUAAAAAAUUACCAGCCAAUGGGAUUGGUAAUGGCUGUUGAGGCAGACAAAAUUUCUACAUUCCGAGAGCAGCUUCAUUCAUUGAUUGAUGAGCCCUGAAUUCCUAUUAAAGGUAUCUGAGGUUCCUAGUUUUGAUUUCUUCCCAGCUGUAAGCAAUUUUGUAGACUCAACUCUUCUUCAAUCUUGUUUACCGACAAGUUUAUAGGAAUUUUGUUUCAGAUAGGCAGGAUGACAUUUGUUGUUGUGUUUCGAACACGUUGUGUUAUUACUCUCUUUUAUAUAGUUUUCCCAUUUCUCGUUGCACUUCUCGGCCACAAACUGAACAGUAUAAAUGUUUUACAGCAAAGAGGCAUGUCUGAACAAUACAAGGGUAAUGAACCUCAUGUUGGAACAACAUAAAUUCCAUGUUUUAUACACAGUGCCCUUGGAGAGAAGCAAAUCCCAAGUCUUUUAUAUGUGCCCUUUCUGCAGAACUUUAAAGCAAUCUGAAGGCACCAGAAACAUAUCCACCAUGACCUCUAAGCCAUGGUCAGAGCGCACACAAACAUUCGACCAUGACUUUGAGCUUUGACUGGAUCUUUGCAACUACUGGUCAUGGCUCACAUGAUCAUGGAUGUGCUUUCAGAAUUCAACGGCCGGUAGCCAUAUAUAUGAGAGCGCUGGGGAGUCAAAGGCACCAAGGAUAAUGGCCAUGUAUACUGAGAGCAUGUGGCGAUCAAUUCUCAGCAUGGGAAUUCUAGUGAACUUGUCACGUAUAUAUACUAGGCAGCCUUAACUAGGAAGAUAAAUAUUUUGCAUAAGUCCUAUUCUUUUCUAAUUUGAUUGAAAUCACUA